GGAAUCCCUCAGGGAGCCCCAGGGGGGCAACCCCAGCUCCAAGGAUGGGCAUCGGACGUAGAAGAACCUCUCCUUCCAGUUGUGAAUAGAAGAGGGGACACCUUUCAGCAACCCCUUUCUACCGAACUGAGGAGAGAAGUACCAUCAGUCCUUUGUCGAGGGAUGACGUUUGAAGGUAUAGAAAUUCUUAAAUAAAGAAAGAGUCAGUCAAACUUCAGCUAAACUACAGAGGGAAAGAAAUCCUAUCAGAGCAGCGCUACAGAAAUUAAAGAAAUAUUUAAGA
rnacentral:lncRNA from 1 species